rnacentral:rRNA from 1 species
AUUGAACGCUGGCGGCAGGCCUAACACAUGCAAGUCGGGCGAGUGGCGGACGGGUGAGUAAUGUCUGGGAAACUGCCUGAUGGCGGGGGAUAACUACUGGACACGGUAGCUAAUACCGCAUACCAUCGGAUGUACCCAUAUGGGAUUAGCUGGUAGGUGAGGUAAUGGCUCACCUAGGCGACGAUCCCUAGCUGGUCUGAGAGGAUGACCAGCCACACUGGGACUGAGACACGGGACAGACGCAUACGGGAGGGAGCAGUGGGGAAUAUUGCACGAUGGGGGAAAGCCUGAUCCAGCCAUGCCGCGUGUAUGAAGAAGGCCUUCGGGUUGUAAAGUACUUUGGGCAGAGAAGCGGUAUCUGCAGAAUAAGCACCGGCUAACUACGUGCCAGCCGCCGCGGUAAUUC